rnacentral:rRNA from 1 species
GUUCGGAUUGUAGUCUGCAACUCGACUACAUGAAGCUGGAAUCGCUAGUAAUCGCGGAUCAGAAUGCCGCGGUGAAUACGUUCCCGGGUCUUGUACACACCGCCCGUCACACCAUGGGAGUCGGAAAUGCCCGAAGUCUGUGACCCAACCUUAGGGAGGGAGCAGCCGAAGGCAGGUCGGAUGACUGGGGUGAAGUCGUAACAAGGUAGC